rnacentral:lncRNA from 1 species
GUUCUUAACCUGCUGAGUCAAAACGGGAACUCCCAGAUCUGCUUUCCAGGUGUCUUUGACCUUGGCCUGGCAGUGGUAUCUCUGCAGUAGGAGUUACCCGGGUUCUGACUUAAGAUGCAGAUUCCUGAGCCGGACCCCAGCAUUUGAGUCAGACUUGUUGGGGGCAGGGCCUUGGAAUCUGCAUGGGGCCAGGUCCCUGGGGGGCACACGGAAGUUGGACACCUCCCAUUGGGGGAGGAGUUCUUGCUUCCAGGCUUCUGGUGUGCUUCCCUGGGCCAGCAGUCCCGGUAACAGAGUCACAGAUGCAUCACAGCCGUGCCGUGCAGCAAGGAUCUCGCUAGUUUAUAGAUGGGAGAUGGAGGCUGAGAGAGGUCGGUCGCACCCAGGGAAUCGUGAACUCCCACCGUUAAGUUCUGCAGCCUCAUGCAUUUGUGACCCACGUUUCUCCGUCUUUACCCGACGGCGGCGAUAUCCUCUGAAAGCUAGCAAUUCGCUGCCGCCCUCGGUUUUGUGUGUUGAGGGGUUGUGUUGGUUUACCUUUAUUGCGGAAGUUUUCAAACAGACCCACAACUCAAGAGAACAGUCUCGUAACGCCCUCCAUCCCUUGGCCCUGCGCCAACAGAGAUGACGUUUUGCCAUUCUUAUUUCGUCUCUUUCUCCCUGGAGUGAGACAAAUACAUGUAUUUCCUUUCUGGGGUAUUUUUUUUUUUUCUUUUUAGGGCCGCACCCGCAUCACAUGGAGCUUCCCAGGCCAGCAGUCCCGCUCGGAUCCUGCGUUGCUGUGGCUCUGGUGGAGGCCGGCGGCUACGGCUCCACUUCAACCCCUAGCCUGGGAACCUCCAUAUGCCUCGGGAGCGGCCCUGAAAAAAAAGGACAAAAAGACAAAAAUGGUAUAUUCCUUGGAAAUAAGAUUGUGCUCCGCAUCUUGCAGUCUGUCUCUCCCACCUCACAGCGUACCCCAGAUGUCUGCCCACGUCUCUCUUGGGCAUCUCUUCUGUGUGGUUCUCAAGGGCGGCCCAGAAGCUUGGUUAGAUACGCCAUGGUUUAUUCAGUUAAUCCCCUCCCGUUGGGCAUUCAGGUUGUUUCUGUGCCCUGUUGACUGAGUUUCAAAAGGCAUUUCUGCGGGCCCUGGACUUUACCUGCCCCGCCCUCUAGAUCCUGCGUGGGUUUCUGAGAAUGACCAGGCAGCAAUAGCGUCCUGGGCACUGGGUGGCUUCCCAGAACCCUCUUAGUCAGGAUUCCACUGUUUGGUUUCAAGUCUCAAGACACAGGACACACCCGGACUCAAGUGUGGGUGAAAAACACAUUCCAGAGGCAGAGAACGUGUUGUUUGAGUGACAGGGUAAAACUCUAACGUAGGGUAGGUUUCUUUUUAAACAAACAUACCGGAGCUCACCCAACCCAGGAGCUCCCCUCCUACGCGGUCACCCUAGAAGGCAGGCCUGUUACUGCAAUAAAACUGGGAUUGCAUGAAAACCCAUCUGUGAACUCUGAUUUUUCGGCCACACCCGCAGCAUAGGGUCGUUCCCGGAGCAGGGAUUGAAUCUGAGCUGGAGCUGCGACCUAUGCCACAGCGGCAGUGGUGCUGGAUCCUCAAGCCGCCGUGCUGGGCUGGGCACCGAACCGGCCCCCUUCCGCAGAGACAGAUGGGAUCAUUAACCCACUGUGGCACAGUGAGGACUCCUGUGAACUCUUUUAAAACUGUCUCUGGAGUCACGGAGAUACUGUUUGGAGGUACUGUUGCCUGAAAAGCCUUCAGGCUUCUAGAUGCACUGAGCCUGGAAACAGGCUGUGCUCACAGACGCUGCUGUGUCUAGUUUGAGCAGAAACAGAUUCAAUUAUAACAGAGAAGUGAGAUUCGGUGGCGGGGUCAGAGAACCAGGUAUGGAUGCCAUUUGGGGAUCUUUCUGUAAAUGAAUUGCCUGUUCAUGGUAUUUGCCUAUUUUGUCCAUUUUUAAGAGCUUUUAAUAUAUUAGGGAUAUUAGCCUUUUAUCUGUGAUUUUUUUUUUAAUUAAAAAAAAUUUUUUUGGGCCAUGUCCAUGGCAUGUGGAAGUUCCUGGGCCAAAGAUUGAACCCGCCCUGCAGCAGUGACCCAAGCCACCACAGUGACAAAGUUGAAUCCUUAACCUGCGCUGCCACAAGGGAGCUCCUAUCUCUGAUUUAUGUUGAAAAUACUCUCUCCCACCUUGUCAAUUGCCUCUGACUUUGUUCGUGGUGUUUUUACCUUAAAAAGGUAUCUCUUAUUUUCAGGUAGUUAAAUUUAUUUACCUCUUCUUUUAUUGCAUCUGGAUUAGAUCUGUUUGGAGUUUACUCAUAGGUGAAAUACGAGGUAUUUGAUUUUGAAACCCAAUUUUAUGAAAUGUCUAGGUCUGCCAAGGGUUGCAAAUGAAAAUCCUUUCAAGAGCUAAGCAGAAUGUGAGAUGGGAGAAGAAAAGAGGGAGGGUGAGGUCUGUGGCCAAUCAGAGAUUACGUUUAAAAAAAUACCCGCACAGGGGUUCCCUUCAUGGCUCAGCAGUAAUGAACGGACUCGGAUGAUCCAUUCCUGGCCUCGCUUAGUGGGUUUAGGAUCCGGCAUUGCCGUGAGCUGUGGUGUGGGUCACAGAUGCGGCUCGGAUCCCGCGUUGCCGUGGCCGUGGUGUAGGCCAGUAGCUGCUGCUCUGAUUGGACCUCUAGCCUGGGAACCUCCAUAUGCCGUGGGUGCGGCCCUAAACAACAAACAAACAAAAAAACCACACCCCCCCCCACACUCAUAGGGGGUAUGCUAGUUUCCUAAGGCUGGCAGAAACAAAUGACCCCUAACUUGGGGCCUGGAAACAACAGAAAUGUAUCACCUCAGCUCUAGAGGCUGGAAGCCCAAGAUCCGGGUGUGGGCUGGCUUCGUUCCUUCCCGGGGCUCUGAUGAGACUCUGUUCCAGGCCCUUGUCCCAGGUCCCGGUGACUGACAGCAGUCCUUGGCAUCCUUCACGCAUUGCCACGUCGCUGCAAUCGCUGCUCCGUCCGCACGUGGCCUUCUUCCCUGCGUGUCUGUGUGCCAACUUUCCCGCUCGGCCUAAGGCUACCAGUCAUUGGAUUCAGGGCCCGCCCCACUCCAGUCUGACCUCAUUUAACCUGAUUACACCUGCAAAGACCCUGUAUCCUUCGUAGGUUCCGGGGAGACAGGCAUUUGUGGGGGGGAGCCCCCGGCGCCUGUGGGUGGAGAGCCUGGGGACCUUCCGUGGAUCUCAUGUCGCUGUUGACUGGUCCUUCCUGGUGACGAAGGGUCUGCUGUGCUGGGAAACUCCUCAGACGCCAUUGACUCUGAAAACGGGUUUUGAAAAACUUCGACAGCUUGUCAUUGUCACAUGAUCGGAGAAAAGGCGAAAGAACCCAGAGGCCGGCUCUCCUGAGUCUGAACAAAGAGUUGGCCUUCCCUCCAGCCUUCCGGGGGCAGGCUUGUUUGGCCUCAAUAUUUGGGUUUCCCCUGGGAGGCCAGGCCCUUGCUCUGCUUUUUCCCUCAGUGUAAAGGGGUGAAUUCAUGCGAGUCCCUCGUGCCAAGAGAGAGCCCAUUUCAUCCAAGAGAAAGGGGAGGGCAGUGUCCCCCACCCUGAGAGCCAGGGGAGGGCUCAUCUCCCCUGAAGGCCUCCCAGGGGAGGGAGAAUUCUGAAGACCCCCCCAACCCUGGAAUUGCCCCCCCCUUCGAAAAUUAACCCAGAUGCUGUUGUGAAGAGAUUUUGCAAAUGGACGGUCCCAAGUCAGGUGACCUUAAGGCUCGGAGAUGGUCUGUGUGGGCCGGACCCAUUCAGGUGAAUCUUGUCAAAUCAGAGUGAUUUCUCUGGUGGGAGGAGGCGUCAGAGAUUUUCGAAAGGUCAGAAACACAGGCCACGCCAUCCCCUUUCUGCUCCGAAGUCAGAAGGAGCCACCAGGGAAGUGUGAGCCACCCAGCCAGCAGGGGCCAGACCCACAGCCUCCAGGAUGCAGGUUCUCGGGCGGAGGACAGCCCCGUGGGGGGACACCUGGGUUUUCCCCUGAGACCCGAACAGAGCACCUAGUCGAGCCUGUUCAGAUUUCUGGUCCACGGAACUCCAGGUGAUAAGUGGGGUUAAUUUAAGCCACUAGAUUGGUGGUGAGUCGUCAUGCAGCGGGAGAAAGGACCCCGCCUCUGGUCUCGGAAGGUCGGAGGAGAAGCAGAGAUUUGGGAAAUCGGGCGACUCCACUGUUUCUGGCUGGUCCACCCCCGUCCUGUGUGCGUUGAGUCCUGCCACAGCGCCUGUGCCCUGCCCGAGACCGCAACACCCCGCAGUGAGCCAGCCGGCUGUGCAGAGCAAUCAGACACGUGACCGUCUUGUGGUCAACUCGUGACUGGAGACCUGGGAACCAGGUGGGUCUAACCACAUUUUUUCUGGCUGUUUUAGAACUUCCUAGAACCAAGGAAUCUUGAUCAAGUUCCUUAACAGUAUCAAUUCCCCCAGAAAAUUUCAUACCCC